CACAUAGGGGGCAAGCGUUGUCCGGAUUUAUUGGGCGUAAAGAGCUCGUAGGCGGUUCGGUAAGUCAGGUGUGAAACCUCCAGGCUCAACCUGGAGACGCCACCUGAUACUGCUGUGACUCGAGUCCGGUAGGGGAGCGUGGAAUUCCUGGUGUAGCGGUGAAAUGCGCAGAUAUCAGGAGGAACACCAACGGCGAAGGCGGCGCUCUGGGCCGGAACUGACGCUGAGGAGCGAAAGCGUGGGUAGCAAACAGG
rnacentral:rRNA from 1 species